UACGUAGGGCGCAAGCGUUGUCCGGAAUUAUUGGGCGUAAAGAGCUCGUAGGCGGCUUGUCACGUCGAUUGUGAAAGCCCGAGGCUUAACUUCGGGUCUGCAGUCGAUACGGGCUAGCUAGAGUGUGGUAGGGGAGAUCGGAAUUCCUGGUGUAGCGGUGAAAUGCGCAGAUAUCAGGAGGAACACCGGUGGCGAAGGCGGGUCUCUGGGCCGUAACUGACGCUGAGGAGCGAAAGCGUGGGGAGCAAACAGG
rnacentral:rRNA from 1 species